UGGGGAAUGAAUUGCACAAUGGGCGAAAGCCUGAUGCAGCAACGCCGCGUGAGUGAUGAAGGCCUUCGGGUUGUAAAGCUCUGUCUUUUGGGACGAUAAUGACGGUACCAAAGGAGGAAGCCACGGCUAACUACGUGCCAGCAGCCGCGGUAAUACGUAGGUGGCAAGCGUUGUCCGGAUUUACUGGGCGUAAAGGAUGCGUAGGCGGAUUUUUAAGUGAGCAUGUGAAAUACCCGGGCUUAACUUGGGUGCUGCAUUUCAAACUGGGAAUCUAGAGUGCGGGAGAGGAGAAUGGAAUUCCUAGUGUAGCGGUGAAAUGCGUAGAGAUUAGGAAGAACACCAGUGGCGAAGGCGAUUCUCUGGACCGUAACUGACGCUGAGGCAUGAAAGCGUGGGUAGCAAACAGGAUUAGAUACCCUGGUAGUCCACGCCGUAAACGAUGAGUACUAGGUGUAGGAGGUAUCGACCCCUUCUGUGCCGCGGUUAACACAAUCAAGUACUCCGCCUGGGAAGUACGAUCGCAAGAUU
rnacentral:rRNA from 1 species